UACGAAGGGGGCUAGCGUUGCUCGGAAUCACUGGGCGUAAAGGGUGCGUAGGCGGGUCUUUUAAGUCAGGGGUGAAAUCCUGGAGCUCAACUCCAGAACUGCCUUUGAUACUGAAGAUCUUGAGUUCGGGAGAGGUGAGUGGAACUGCGAGUGUAGAGGUGAAAUUCGUAGAUAUUCGCAAGAACACCAGUGGCGAAGGCGGCUCACUGGCCCGGAUACUGA
rnacentral:rRNA from 1 species